ACGUAGGAUUAAGCAUACUGGUAUUUUAAUUAAGGGGCAUAUAUAAUACUAAUAUAAUACUGUAAAAAAUCUUACUAGAACGAACUCCAUCAGAAACCGGAGGUGAACUUGUAUGCACAGGAAGGGUAAAUUAUAGUUAACGCUCCAAACGCAGUACCUGUCUUGUACUUCAAGCAAAUACAAUUCUGAUAUUCAUUUUGGUUAGUGACAAAUGAUACACAAAGGAAAUGUGAUUGCGAUAGAUAUCGGUAGUCAUUUGUAACACUGAUAUGUUAUAACAGUAC
rnacentral:lncRNA from 1 species